GCUCUUAUGGCCAAGUUGGUAAGGCACCUCACUAGUAUUCCAAAAAGAAAGCUAUGAGGAGAUCAUAGGUUCGAAUCCUGUUGAGAGCA
rnacentral:tRNA from 1 species